rnacentral:rRNA from 1 species
AGGAAUCUGCCUAUUAGUGGGGGACAACGUUUCGAAAGGAACGCUAAUACCGCAUACGUCCUACGGGAGAAAGCAGGGGACCUUCGGGCCUUGCGCUAAUAGAUGAGCCUAGGUCGGAUUAGCUAGUUGGUGAGGUAAUGGCUCACCAAGGCGACGAUCCGUAACUGGUCUGAGAGGAUGAUCAGUCACACUGGAACUGAGACACGGUCCAGACUCCUACGGGAGGCAGCAGUGGGGAAUAUUGGACAAUGGGCGAAAGCCUGAUCCAGCCAUGCCGCGUGUGUGAAGAAGGUCUUCGGAUUGUAAAGCACUUUAAGUUGGGAGGAAGGGUUGUAGAUUAAUACUCUGCAAUUUUGACGUUACCGACAGAAUAAGCACCGGCUAACUCUGUGCCAGCAGCCGCGGUAAUACAGAGGGUGCAAGCGUUAAUCGGAAUUACUGGGCGUAAAGCGCGCGUAGGUGGUUUGUUAAGUUGGAUGUGAAAGCCCCGGGCUCAACCUGGGAACUGCAUCCAAAACUGGCAAGCUAGAGUACGGUAGAGGGUGGUGGAAUUUCCUGU